UGGAACGCACGAUUACCCCAAUCUCCCCCAAGCACCAGUGCUAAGCUUCGCCCCGGCUUCGACCCAGUCGAGGUCUCCAACGCGGCAGCCUCUCCAGCGACGCGGAUCGACGCCUCCUUCACCUCGCGCGCUGGAGGUGCUCUUAGUUGUGCUCGUUGAGGUCGGUGCAGUCGUUAUUACACUUCGAGGGGUUUUGGCCCAG
rnacentral:lncRNA from 1 species